UCAUCACGAUGUCCUUCAGGUGGCUGGGAAGCCACAAUAGGGAAUCCGGUGCGAAUCCGGAGCGGUCCCGCCGCUGUUAUCUCCAUAGAAAUCUGAUCCACGACGUCACUGCCACAUGCGGGAAGACGGAUCAGACGGGGAAAGCCAGAAGACCUGCCUGAAGCGUUUCUAGCCGA
rnacentral:ncRNA from 1 species